GCCCCGCCUCGGCCACGCCCACCGCCGCUCCGAGCCGCGCCUCGGUCUGGCGCACCUGCAGAACAGGCUCCUGAAGUGGUUCUACUGCCUUCCGUGGGCUUUAGCCUGAAUUAAUCGGGUACCAGCUGGACCCUGAUUGGCUGAAUUUGGGUAUGCAAAUAAGAUGAAGAGAUGAUAUCAAUCAAGGAAGAGCUGUCAAACCUGGUGGGGAAAAGAGAACCCUGAGCCAACCAAAAGUUUCUAAAUCUGUAAUGGCCUCUGGUGCACACCUGUUUUUCCAGCACUCAGGGAAGCCGGCAGAUCACUGUGAGUUCGAGGCCAGCCAGGUCUACAGGGUGAGCUCCAGGACAGCUGAGGCUGCACAGAGAAAUGAAAAUCUGCUCUACAGACAAUGUGUUUAAAAGCCUCCGGUGCUUUAAGAUCCAUCAUCAAGAGAAGCCAGAGCAAAAACUCAAGCAGAAACCUGGAGACAGAGCCUGAAGCUGAGGCCAGGCUUGGGGCCAUGGAAAGACACUGUUUGCAGCAGUAGCUUGCUCAGUGCCUCAGGGCUGUCUGCCCUGGGAAGGCGCCUCCCACAGUAAACUGGGCUCUCCCAAUUAGUCAUCAAUUAAUAAUAUGCUUGACAGACUUGCCCACAGGCUAAUCUGAUAUAGGCAAUUCCUCAACCGAUGUUACCUGUUCCAAAAGGACUCCAGUUUGUGUCAAGUCGACAAAAAAAAAAAAAAAAAAAAUUAACCAGCACAAAUCUCAAGGAGCUUUCUAAUUAUGGCCAUUUCUUCCUAAGUACCUUUCCAUAGACCAUAUAAGAAAUUAAAGCUGAAAAGUAUUUAGAAUAUUUCUUUUUCUUUUUACAUAUUCUAAGAAACAUAAAAAUAAAAUAAGGUAUAGUUUGCAGAAUAAAAGCUUGAGAAGAAUAGCCCUUCUCUUUGUGUUUCUACAAGUCUUGCUAGUAUUUGACUUAAUAGAAGACAAUGGAAGUCUCACACCUGCUUCUGAAUUCUCUUUGUGGAGAUGUUACAUGGCUUGUGUCCUCUGGGAAACUUUCCUUUGGGCUCAUGAGAGAAUGAGGGUUCAAAAGGCAAAUAAUGUCUCAGCUGACCCCCUCAAAAGAUUUCUAGGAUCCGCAAGGGUGUCCAGACUUCCUCUCGAGAGCUACAGCUCUAAAUAUUUACUUAGAUAUCUGCUAAACUCUGAGGAAGGUCUAGACAGCUGCAUUCCAAAAGCAGAGAAUGGCAUUAUCACAAGAACUUAUAUGGAAGAGUCUAAUUCUCCCCUGCCUCAGAUGUUUAACAAAUUUUGUGUGUUCUCUUUUCCAUUAGAAAAAAAAAAUAAGUACCUAUAAUGCCACUAUUAAAACAAAGUUAGCUGGGUGGAAGUGUUGCACGCCUUUAAUCCAAGCAUUCAGGGGGCAGAGGCAGGUGGAUAUCUGUGAGUCUGAGACCAGCCUGGUCUACAGAGUGAGAUCCAAGACAGCCAAGGCUACACAGAGGAACCCUGUCUCUAAAUAAAUAAAUAAAUAUGUUUUGAUA